rnacentral:rRNA from 1 species
GACGUAGGUGGCGAGCGUUUGUUCGGAAUUAUUUGGGGCGUAAAAGGGUGCGUAGGCGGUUCCGCAAGUCCUGUGUGAAAAUCUUCGGGCUCAACUCGAAGUCUGCACGGGAAACUCGGGGCUUGAGUGUGGGGAGAGGUGAGUGGAAAUUCCCGGUGUAGCGGUGAAAAUGCGUAGAUAUCGGGAGGAACACCUGUGGCGAAAGCGGCUCA